rnacentral:lncRNA from 1 species
UCUAGCUAACGAACGAGCGGCUGGUGAGUUGUCUCCGAGCACCUGGAGAGUCAGAACAGGCUUUUUCGCGCGAUGUGUUUCUGGAAGUUAUGAUUCUUUUUAGUUUGGGUUGCGGUAGCGAAUUUUUUUUCUAUAAAUUUAAUUAUCUUUGAAGCUAUUGAUCGUGUGAGCAUAUAAGUUGGUUAUAAGGGUUAUCCUACAACGUUGUUUCAUACGAAUUCGUUGAAAUAAUAGUUAAAAAAUGCUAUUAAGUGUGUACAGAUACGUAAAAAAUGCAUAGUCUUAGAAAAAUGUAUGGAUACAUAAAAAAUAAAAAAGAGAAAAUAAACCAGUGACAAACUCAGAUUACAGCUACAUAUUUGUUAACUCAAGAAAGGCUGAAAUGACAUCGAUUACGGUUUACAUAAACAUUUCGAUAACAUCUGAUCAUUUGACACGACCCCCACUAUUUGGCGUAUGCUUAAAAAUUUGGUUUUAUCUACUUCAUCAGCGUUAAUAAAAUUUGCUUUAGCUUUUUUAAGAGUUUAAUUUCCGAAUGAACCUUUUAACUUGAAAUACGCUUUGGUAGUGACAGUAAAACGCAGGAGGAUUGCUCUUUUUUUAUCUGAGGUGCUUAGCAUUUUUUCUUUUUUCAAAGCUUUGCCUCUCACUCUGAUUUUUUUUCAUCUUCAUCCAAAAUAUUACCCAUUACCUCUUGUGUCUUUACUUCCUCCUCCUUAGACGCAUAUUGUAUAAAAUUUACAUUUUCAACUACCGUAUUUGUAACGUCAAAAUCAUUACCUGGUUUCACGUCAGCAUUAGAUAAUAAAUCAGGUUCUUCCAACAUUGUCCUCACCAUUUGUACCACUAACAUUGACGGUAUUGUCCACCUCUAUAUCGGCAUCAGAUAGUAAGUCAGCUGAAUCUCUUUCGCCAAUUUUUUCUGCAGAUUCACUGGAAGUUUUGAACUUGGUGUUAAUUCUUCUAUUUCAUCCCCGAUUUGUUGACUCUUUUGACUUUUCUGCGCAGAGCUUUUAAAUUUUUUCAGUUAAAAUGUCGAGCAUGUAUACGAACAACGGCCUAUAACUUAGAAAGAACGUUUUUAUUUUUGCUAUUACACAAAACGUAAACCAACAGACCAAUUUUUACAAUGAUUAUCAGUCAUUCUUGCUCGAAGUAUAUUUUCGACGUCUUGACAAUUUCACUUGAUGCUACCCUGAUUAUAGAUAUCGCGGUCUACGUUUUGUGAUACUAUAUUCUGAACACAUUUCUUUUAACUCCACUAUUACUAGAUCUCGACCGUUCCGCACUGUGUUAUUUUGAGGGCUCCGAAAGUUAUAUAAUUUUCAAUAGCUCAUCUGCUACUUCCGCUGCUCUUUCGCAUUUUAACGGUGGAAGAUAUGAGCACUUAGUACUGUGGUCCUGAUAAUUAAAUAUUCCUUUAUUAUCGCCAUUUGGCAUUGACUGAUAACCUAUCAGAUCGAUUUGACCACGUUCAUUGAAGUCUUGGGAAGUUAUAGAUCUGACGACAACUUUUCGGGACAUACCUUUUCGACGUUCUAAGUUUUGUAUACUUUCAAUAUGUUUCGAUAGCGCUUUUGGAAAUAGAGCAUUUAUUUUUCAAUCCAUAAUGCGUUCUUACGCUACCUCCAUUACAAGCGUUUCAUUUGCUUACUCUGUCAAACAAAUCUUCCUAAGAUAACAUAGUUUAUGUGGUCAUUACAGUUUAUUUCAUUUCUUCAUUAACUUUUUCUUAUUAAGUAUUUUUGCCGAUACAGGUCGUAUGAUUCACAGUUCUAAUUAAAGUUUCUGUCAAGUUCCCCAUUGUAGUAAUAUUUAAUGCAGGUAGAACAAUAAUAUAAUUACAAAUUGACUUUCGUGGUCAGUAGAUGAUCUUAUGCUGUCCUGAUUUGGGACUAAAGGCCGUAGUUGGUUAUAGUUGCUUCUUAACGGAGACGGAAAGACCUCUGAAGAAACUCGCCACUCGUGCUAGCGAAACGUUAGGAGGCAUCUCCAGUCGACGACGUACUUUAGGAAUCAGGACAGCAUCAGUUCAAUAUAAUUACUGCUGUAACUCUGGGAUGGUAUUAGUGGGUCAACAAAGAAACGAAAACAAGAAAAAUACGAAUAUUUAACAAUCAUAAUUAGUGCGCUAGAGUAUAAAAACAUCUUACAAAUUACUUUCAACUACCUACAAUCUUUUGCAAACAAAUGCAAUAACAGUCAACCCCCCCUCAAUCUACCACACUAAAUGUGCUGUUGUAAUAUUAUUUGCGAUAUUGAUUUCAUUUUUUGUUACUGCUCUACCAUGUUCUUAUUCAAAUUUCAGGGUUCAUUACCAUGAUGCGGAAUAAUAUCGAGAUUGAAAUGGAUUCAUUUGGUAUUUUAAUUACAGAUAGAUCAUAUUUGUAUUAGUAACAUUAGGUUGUAAUUAUUUUCACUUUAUGUUGUUGUGUCAAUCAUACGUCUAAAAUAGUUGUCUUACAUAAUAUCAUUAUUUUAUAUAAUAUAUUCGUAAAAAUGUGCAUGAAUAAUUAUUACGUUCUAGUUUUAACUAGUUCAUAGUAUGUUUAUUUUAUUCUAUUUAGUAAUAAUUAAAAAUUAAAUUUUCCAUUCAAAAAUUUACUGUUUGUCUUCUAUUUUUAGUAGUUGUUAAGUUGUGCUUAUCCCAACGCUUAAAAAAUACUUUUUUUUUCAUUGGCUUGUGGCCAUACUGUUUAACUAUAGGAGGUUUACAUAAAAUUGUUAAAAUAUGGUACUUUAAGUAUGUUACAUCACUACUUCCCGAAUAAAAAUUACAAUCAUUUGCUGAUAA